rnacentral:rRNA from 1 species
CAAUAGCGUAUAUUAAUGUUGUUGCAGUUAAAAAGCUCGUAGUUGGAUUUCUGCGCCGCGCAGCUCGGUCCGCCGCAAUGCGGUGCGACUGUGGCUGGAGCGUCGCAUCCUUGUGGAGACCUUUGAUGCCAUUGAUUUGGUGUCUUAUGGGAACCGCAUCGUUUACUGUGAAAAAAUUAGAGUGUUCAAAGCAGGCAUACGCCGUGAAUACAUUAGCAUGGAAUAAUAAGAUAGGACUUUGGUUCUAUUUUGUUGGUCGGAGGCCAAGGUAAUGAUUAAUAGGGAUAGUUGGGGGUAUCCAUAUUUAAUUGUCAGAGGUGAAAUUCUUGGAUUUAUGAAAGAUGAACUUAUGCGAAAGCAUUUACCAAGGAUGUUUUCAUUAA